UGGAGGUUGUGGCCCUGAGCCGUGGCUUUCGGAGCUAACGCGUUAAGUAGACCGCCUGGGGAGUACGGUCGCAAGAUUAAAACUCAAAUGAAUUGACGGGGGCCCGCACAAGCGGUGGAGCAUGUGGUUUAAUUCGAUGCAACGCGAAGAACCUUACCUACUCUUGACAUCCAGAGAACUUUCCCAGAGAUGGAUUGGUGCCUUCGGGAACUCUGAGACAGGUGCUGCAUGGCUGUCGUCAGCUCGUGUUGUGAAAUGUUGGGUUAAGUCCCGCAACGAGCGCAACCCUUAUCCUUGUUUGCCAGCGAGUAAUGUCGGGAACUCCAGGGAGACUGCCGGUGAUAAACCGGAGGAAGGUGGGGACGACGUCAAGUCAUCAUGGCCCUUACGAGUAGGGCUACACACGUGCUACAAUGGCGCAUACAGAGGGCGGCCAACUUGCGAAAGUGAGCGAAUCCCAAAAAGUGCGUCGUAGUCCGGAUUGGAGUCUGCAACUCGACUCCAUGAAGUCGGAAUCGCUAGUAAUCGUGGAUCAGAAUGCCACGGUGAAUACGUUCCCGGGCCUUGUACACACCGCCCGUCACACCAUGGGAGUGGGCUGCAAAAGAAGUAGGUA
rnacentral:rRNA from 1 species